UACAGAGGUGGCAAGCGUUGUUCGGAAUUACUGGGCGUAAAGGGCGCGUAGGCGGUUCGUUAAGUCCUGUGUGAAAUCCCCCGGCUCAACUAGGGAACUGCACAGGAAACUAGCGGGCUUGAGUUCGGGAGAGGGAAGCGGAAUUCCGGGUGUAGCGGUGAAAUGCGUAGAUAUCCGGAGGGACACCGGUGGCGAAGGCGGCUUCCUGGACCGACACUGACGCUGAGGCGCGAAAGCUAGGGGAGCAAACGGG
rnacentral:rRNA from 1 species